rnacentral:rRNA from 1 species
CCUACGGGUGGCAGCAGUGAGGAAUAUUGGUCAAUGGACGAGAGUCUGAACCAGCCAAGUAGCGUGAAGGAUGACGGCCCUAUGGGUUGUAAACUUCUUUUAUAUGGGAAUAAAACGUUCCACGUGUGGGAUUUUGUAUGUACCAUAUGAAUAAGGCUCGGCUAAUUCCGUGACAGCAGCCGCGGUAAUACGGAGGUUCCGAGCGUUAUCCGGAUUGAUUGGGUUUAAAGGGAGCGUAGGUGGAUUGUUAAGGCAGUUGUGAAAGUUUGCGGCUCAACCGUAAAAUUGAAGUUGAAACUGGCAGUCUUGAGUACAGUAAAGGUAGGCGGAAUUCGUGGUGUAGCGGUGAAAUGCUUAGAUAUCACGAAGAACUCCGAUUGCGAAGGCAGCUCACUGGACUGCAACUGACACUGAGGCUCGAAAGUGUGGGUAUCAAACAGGAUUAGAUACCCGAGUAGUC